rnacentral:pre_miRNA from 1 species
UAAGGUGCAUCUAGUGCAGAUAGUUGCAAAGUCCAUAAUCUACUGCUCUACUUGCUCCUUCCG